rnacentral:rRNA from 1 species
CCCGAAUCUUGAAGAGUUAUUAGUCUAUUUUUUUAAUGUGUCAUAAUUAUUGUUAAUUGACUAAUAGGAGCGAAACGUUAUUCGCUUUAGGAUAUAUCUGGUUCUUUAAGAAAUGGAUUUAAUCUAGCUUAAGCAAUAACAGUUGUUUAAUUUAUAAUUUUCUGAUUUGUUUAGGUAAGCUAUUUGGGGAUAAGCUCUAGUAGUAAUUUUUAUUUAAUUGAAGGUUUGUCAAAUGCAUAGGAAUAGAAAUUUUCAUUGUUGAUAGUUUGUUAUAAUUAAUUUGGCUUAAAAUAUGAUUUUUAUAUUUAAUAAAUAGUUUAUUAAGGUGUUAAAUUUAACGUUUUAAUUUAAGAAAUAAUGAUAGAAUUAGUAUAUUUGUUUGUAAAUUUAUUAAUGUUUGUUGGAAGUAUAAAAGGAAUUCGGCAAAUACAUUCUUCACCUGUUUAUUAAAAACAUGUCCUUUUGAUUAUUAUUUAAGGUCGGGCCUGCCCAAUGAGGAUUUAAAUGGCCGCAGUAAUUUGACUGUGCUAAGGUAGCAUAAUCAUUAGUUUCUUAAUUAGAAACUGGAAUGAAAGGUUUGAUGAGGGAAUAGCUGUCUCUAAUGUUUGAAUAGAAUUUUAUUUUUAAGUAAAAAAGCUUAAAUUUUGUUGAAAGACGAGAAGACCCUAUAGAGUUUAAUAUAUCAAUUUUGUUGCACACUUUUGUAAGUUAACUGGGGCAAUAAUUUUAUUUAUUUGGUUGGGGUGACUGUAAAAUUAACUGAACUUUUACGUGCAUACUAUUCACUGAUGUGUGUCUUGAUGAUCCAAUAAUUUUGAUUAAAAGAAUCAAUUACCUUAGGGAUAACAGCGUAAUCUUUUUUUAGAGUUCUAAUCGAUGAGAGGGAUUGCGACCUCGAUGUUGGAUUAAAAUUUACUUAGGGUGCAAUAGCUUUUAAGUUGGGUCUGUUCGACCUUUAAAAUUUUACAUGAUCUGAGUUUAAACCGGCGUGAGCCAGGUUGGUUUCUAUCUUCAAUUGUUUUCGGGACCCUAGUACGAAAGGGCCGGGU